rnacentral:rRNA from 1 species
UACGAGAGGCCCAAACGUUAUUCGGAUUUACUGGGCUUAAAGAGUUCGUAGGCGGCAUGAAAAGCAGGGUGUGAAAGCCCUCGGCUCAACCGAGGAAUUGCGCUCUGAACUGUCGUGCUAGAGGAAUCUAGAGGUGAGCGGAACUGAUGGUGGAGCGGUGAAAUGCGUUGAUAUCAUCAGGAACACCGGAGGCGAAGGCGGCUCACUGGGGAUUUUCUGACGCUGAGGAACGAAAGCCAGGGGAGCGAACGGG